ensembl:lncRNA
GAAAUAUUAGAAUGGAUUAUAAUUAAACUUCAGUAAAAACACUAAUUUAGGGCUGGAAUACAGUUCACAGGUUCACAACUGUGGUGAAAUGUCAGAUUUGGUGGUGAAGUGAAUCACUUUCUAAAGAAUCAAACUGAGUGAUAUUUCGAUUCUAUGGCUCACUGAAUCAUUUCUUUAAAGAUGUGACUGAAUGGUGAUGAAGUGUGAGCUUCUAUGCUGCACUGAAUCAUAUCUUAACGAAUCAAACUAAACAGGUGGUCAAACGGUACAGAAUCAAACUAAAUUAAAGGACCUAACUAAGAAUGUGAGGAAUAGAGAGUUAGGAAUGAAGGGAAUUGAGCUGUUUGGUGGUGAAACGUGAGAUUGGAUGGGGCACUGAAUCGUUUCCUAAAGAAUCGUGAGGUCAGAGAUUUACACUCCAUAAUAAUCAGCAUCAGUAGCUGCUCUGUAAACUGAAGCUUCUCUCGGAGGGAUUGGACAAUCGCCGGGGGAAACCUGUUCAGGAUUAACGGCCAGAGGAAACGCGGGGGGGGAUGCAUUUUUACCCACAGCCUCAUCCAACACACACACACACAGAGUGUCAGAGCCAGCAGGCAGUGGGCUCUACACUCAGCAACUUCCUAAAGGGAAACUUUUACAACUUACACCUUUAAAAAAUACAGGAGCUGCUGCUUUAACUCUGUCUGGGGAGCUUUUUAGCCAACGCUGGGUUUCAGGAGCCACUUUUACUUCUACGUGGACCAUCAUGUCAUCACCCUGCCGGAGGAUGGCUUUACUCGGCUCGACUCUACCCACUUCUGCUGGUUUCAGUGGGUUGGCCAACAGCGUGCAGGGCGAAAGCUGCAGGAGGAAAUGCUCUCGAAGUGUCUGGGGUGGCGUGAUGAAUAGAGGAAGUGUGAGGAGUCACGCUAGAUCGAGCUAGAGGCGAAGGAAGAACCUUCAGACCAUGAUGCCCACAAUGCACCCCAUCCACCAGACCAUGUUCUCUGGACCCUGAAGGAUGUGACCGG